rnacentral:rRNA from 1 species
CAGCACAGAGAAGCUUGCUUCUUGGGUGGCGAGUGGCGAACGGGUGAGUAACAUAUCGGAACGUACCGAGUAGUGGGGGAUAACUGAUCGAAAGAUCAGCUAAUACCGCAUACGUCUUGAGAGGGAAAGCAGGGGACCUUCGGGCCUUGCGCUAUUCGAGCGGCCGAUAUCUGAUUAGCUAGUUGGUGGGGUAAAGGCCUACCAAGGCGACGAUCAGUAGCGGGUCUGAGAGGAUGAUCCGCCACACUGGGACUGAGACACGGCCCAGACUCCUACGGGAGGCAGCAGUGGGGAAUUUUGGACAAUGGGCGCAAGCCUGAUCCAGCCAUGCCGCGUGUCUGAAGAAGGCCUUCGGGUUGUAAAGGACUUUUGUCAGGGAAGAAAAGGCUGUUGCUAAUAUCAGCGGCUGAUGACGGUACCUGAAGAAUAAGCACCGGCUAACUACGUGCCAGCAGCCGCGGUAAUACGUAGGGUGCGAGCGUUAAUCGGAAUUACUGGGCGUAAAGCGGGCGCAGACGGUUACUUAAGCAGGAUGUGAAAUCCCCGGGCUCAACCCGGGAACUGCGUUCUGAACUGGGUGACUCGAGUGUGUCAGAGGGAGGUAGAAUUCCACGUGUAGCAGUGAAAUGCGUAGAGAUGUGGAGGAAUACCGAUGGCGAAGGCAGCCUCCUGGGAUAACACUGACGUUCAUGCCCGAAAGCGUGGGUAGCAAACAGGAUUAGAUACCCUGGUAGUCCACGCCCUAAACGAUGUCAAUUAGCUGUUGGGCAACUUGAUUGCUUGGUAGCGUAGCUAACGCGUGAAAUUGACCGCCUGGGGAGUACGGUCGCAAGAUUAAAACUCAAAGGAAUUGACGGGGACCCGCACAAGCGGUGGAUGAUGUGGAUUAAUUCGAUGCAACGCGAAGAACCUUACCUGGUCUUGACAUGUACGGAAUCCUCCAGAGACGGAGGAGUGCCUUCGGGAGCCGUAACACAGGUGCUGCAUGGCUGUCGUCAGCUCGUGUCGUGAGAUGUUGGGUUAAGUCCCGCAACGAGCGCAACCCUUGUCAUUAGUUGCCAUCAUUCGGUUGGGCACUCUAAUGAGACUGCCGGUGACAAGCCGGAGGAAGGUGGGGAUGACGUCAAGUCCUCAUGGCCCUUAUGACCAGGGCUUCACACGUCAUACAAUGGUCGGUACAGAGGGUAGCCAAGCCGCGAGGUGGAGCCAAUCUCACAAAACCGAUCGUAGUCCGGAUUGCACUCUGCAACUCGAGUGCAUGAAGUCGGAAUCGCUAGUAAUCGCAGGUCAGCAUACUGCGGUGAAUACGUUCCCGGGUCUUGUACACACCGCCCGUCACACCAUGGGAGUGGGGG